rnacentral:rRNA from 1 species
AACGAACGCUGGCGGCAUGCCUAACACAUGCAAGUCGAACGAUUGCCUUCGGGUGAUAGUGGCGCACGGGUGCGUAACGCGUGGGAAUCUGCCCUUAGGUUCGGAAUAACAGCUGGAAACGGCUGCUAAUACCGGAUGAUAUCGCGAGAUCAAAGAUUUAUCGCCUGAGGAUGAGCCCGCGUUGGAUUAGGUAGUUGGUGGGGUAAAGGCCUACCAAGCCGACGAUCCAUAGCUGGUCUGAGAGGAUGAUCAGCCACACUGGGACUGAGACACGGCCCAGACUCCUACGGGAGGCAGCAGUGGGGAAUAUUGGAAAAUGGGCGCAAGCAUGAUCCAGCAAUGCCGCGUGAGUGAUGAAGGCCCUAGGGUUGUAAAGCUCUUUUACCCGGGAAGAUAAUGACUGUAACGGGAGAAUAAGCCCCGGCUAACUCCGUG